UGCACUUUUUUUGUAAGCCAAGUCUUAGUACUCAUAAAUAUGUAUGCGCAGGGUGGACAAAUAGAACAAUUUUCUGAGGCUAACAGUGACAUUAAAUCUUAAACUGUGUUUGUAUUUAGUAUUCCGACUAGAGGGAAACAUUUUUGUGCCGCUUACAGGAAAAUUCAGAGAAGCUGAUUGUCGUCAUUGAGAGAAACCUUCAGGUAAAAACUGAGAUUAUAGAUUCAGUCUGAACAUGAUGAAGUUUCUGUAGAUGAUGGUUGUUUAUGGAUGAACACGCAACAUUGGUUUUAUUUGGGCCACAUGUGAAAAUUAGCUGUUGAUUUAACCACAACACAUAAACACAUACACGAACAAACAUGACGGUGUAGUUAAACUUAGCCUCGGUUUUAUCUGAAAGUGGAGAGAUAUAUUGAACAGGUUGGUUGCAAAUGGCUUUGUAAGGGCAUUAAAAGCACUUUUGUAAGAUUUAUCAGCAGAGCAAUAAUUCUACAGGUCACAAAAUGUGAACAUAAAGUGGAGAGUCUUCUGUAAGGCGUCUCCAAAAUGAUUCAUGAAUCACUCACACACAAUCGUACAGGAAUAAUGGCGAGACUGUUCUUGCACAUACUGUGAAAGUGUUCAGAGUGUCUGUGUGGCGUCAUUUAGGCCCAAAAUUAUGGCACUUUUCUCAGGAUUUACACUCAGCCGGACCAAGUCAGUUUUUUCACCACUUGGAAAAAAUGUAGACUUUUGAUACUGAUGUAAGACAAGCAGGUGCUUGUUUUGAGCU